AGUGAACGCUGGCGGUAGGCCUAACACAUGCCAGUCGAACGGCAGCACAGUAAUAGCUUGCUCUUAUGGGUGGCGAGUGGCGGACGGGUGAGGAAUACAUCGGAAUCUACUUUUUCGUGGGGGAUAACGUAGGGAAACUUACGCUAAUACCGCAUACGACCUACGGGUGAAAGCAGUGGAUCUUCUGACCUUGCGCGAUUGAAUGAGCCGAUGUCGGAUUAGCUAGUUGGCGGGGUAAAGGCCCACCAAGGCGACGAUCCGUAGCUGGUCUGAGAGGAUGAUCAGCCACACUGGAAGUGAGACACGGUCCAGACUCCUACGGGAGGAAGCAGUGGGGAAUAUUGGACAAUGGGCGCAAGCCUGAUCCAGCCAUACCGCGUGGGUGAAGAAGGCCUUCGGGUUGUAAAGCCCUUUUGUUGGGAAAGAAAAGCAGCAGGUUAAUACCCCGCUGUUCUGACGGUACCCAAAGAAUAAGCACCGGCUAACUUCGUG
rnacentral:rRNA from 1 species